rnacentral:misc_RNA from 1 species
ACUGACGUCUGCACACCCCUCCUAUGUACAACCAACAACUAACUACUUAAUUAAUUCAAUCAACAAUGUAUAGGUACAAGAUAUGUAUUAGGCCUUCGAAUUAUAUAAUAUCUCAGUCCAAAAUUUGAUUAAUUUAGUUCCCAAAUGUCGGGUCUACUCACGUGAUUAUCUCUGAUUUCAUCCUAAUAAAAAACUUAAAACUAACCAAUUAACUUUAAUUAUAUGUACGGCAAAGUUGGAAAUCUGAUAUGGGUAUCUAUAACCAGUCACUUAGCUCCCGUUUAAUUAUAUAUUUACAAAUUUAAUAAUAGCUUAACUACUGUUUGUGGGGGGCACAGGAAAAUUAUUGAUGAUGGUGGUGGAUACAGGUCCCAUUCCCCAACCCCCACCAAGAAGGAACAGUGUCAACCAUUAAUCAUCAGCAAUAUUGUUGCUUCAAAAAAGGCAAAAUAGCUCCAGCCCUACAUGUCUAAUCAAGUGCUUCUAUCUAAUCUUUUUAUCUUCAUCUUUGGUUUUAUAUGGGUCCCUAAAGUUUCACCUAUAGACCUACACCUACUCACCUACGGCUUUUCUUUUUCUUAACUUUCCAAGCUUCUAUGAGAUCGGGUUAUAGACGGUUACAGCUUUACAUUUAACUUUUUUCUUUUAUCUAUUCUAAUUUUUUUAGUAACAAUAAAUGUAAAUCGUCAACUAACCAUGAAAUACAUGCAAUUGGAGUGAUAAAUUUCGUGAUUUUGGAAAAGAUUAACGGUUCAGAUCAAUUGUAACAUGAGUGUGUUAGGCUCAGGGAACAUUAUCUUUGCCAGAAAAUUAUUCUUAUUAGUGGUGGGUGAGACGUCCUUAUCCGAUAAGCACUCCACUUCAGCACGCAUUAUUGUUAAUGGUUUGAUAAACAAGGAAGAAAAAAACGUGACUGACAGAAGUAUGCCUAAAAUAAUGCUUUGGUGAAAAUAACCUGAUUUAAGCAUCAGUGUUUCUGGAAAUACAUUAAACAGGAAAUAAAUCAGAAUAGAAAAUCGCCAGAGCAGAGAGACAAAUACACUUAUAACUUUCCGGGAAAAAAAGAAUAUGCCAUGUCAAAUCGGACCAAAAAUCUCAUCUAACUAGCUGGAAGACGAGUAUAGUAGCUAGAUCUGGAAAAACCAAACUAAAACUGGUGAAAUGCAAAGUUUAGCUUCUAGCAGUUGUAAAUCUAGUUGAAAUGAUCUCGUAUUUGAUCGAUAAUACCAAAUACUGGAAAUCAUAAACUUAAGAUCCUUCAUGCUUACUCUUGCUCAAUGGAAUAACUAAAUUUGAGGAUCAAAACCAGAGAGAGAAAGGAGCAUCGUAAACUCCGAGCAUUGUUUGACCAACAAAUUCAUCCAUUACAGAACUUAGCACAAAAGGAACGCAUAAUUUUCUCAGAAAUUAAGCAAAAAUCGCAAAAUACUACUUGUAGUAAACAAAUUUUCGAACAUUAAGCUCAUCUAUACGAAUAAAUGCAGUAGAAAACAAACACUGUACAUUGAAUAAGUACACCAAAACUGCUAGCGCAAAACGGCAAAAGAACAAAAACAACAUUUACAGAGAUCAAAUUUAGAACCAUACCUUCCAGAGAGGAAAGGUGAAUUAGCAGUAGUUCG